GACGAACGCUGGCGGCGUGCUUAACACAUGCAAGUCGAACGGAAGGGCCCUGCUUUUGUGGGGUGCUCGAGUGGCGAACGGGUGAGUAACACGUGAGUAACCUGCCCUUGACUUUGGGAUAACUUCAGGAAACUGGGGCUAAUACCGGAUAGGAGCUCCUGCUGCAUGGUGGGGGUUGGAAAGUUUCGGCGGUUGGGGAUGGACUCGCGGCUUAUCAGCUUGUUGGUGGGGUAGUGGCUUACCAAGGCUUUGACGGGUAGCCGGCCUGAGAGGGUGACCGGCCACAUUGGGGCUGAGAUAAGGCCCAGAAUCCUACGGGAGGCAGCAGGGGGGAAAAUUGCACAAUGGGGGGAAGCCUGAUGCAGCAACGCCGCGUGCGGGAUGACGGCCUUCGGGUUGGAAAACGCUUUCGCCUGUGACGAAGCGUGAGUGACGGUAAUGGGUAAAGAAGCAACGGCUAACUACGUG
rnacentral:rRNA from 1 species